ensembl:snoRNA
UAGACCAAUGAUGAGUAUCCUGGGGUAUCUGAAUCCAGAAUUUUACUUUACUAAGCUUUAUAGCUCCAAGAUCUAU